CAGUAGCCGCGGGAAAACGUAGGGUGCAAGCGUUAAUCGGAAUUACUGGGCGUAAAGCGUGCGCAGGCGGUUAUAUAAGACAGAUGUGAAAUCCCCGGGCUCAACCUGGGAACUGCAUUUGUGACUGUAUAGCUAGAGUACGGCAGAGGGGGAUGGAAUUCCGCGUGUAGCAGUGAAAUGCGUAGAUAUGCGGAGGAACACCGAUGGCGAAGGCAAUCCCCUGGGCCUGUACUGACGCUCAUGCACGAAAGCGUGGGGAGCAAACAGGAUUAGAGACCCCCGUAGUCACUGUCUCUUAUAA
rnacentral:rRNA from 1 species